GGGCAACGCCGCCACUUCCCAAGCGGCCGCACACCGCUCAGCGGACAAAGCCGGGGAGAGCGCCGCUGCCCUGACGGUCCCCAAAGGCUUCCCGGGCUGCGGGGGAGGCAAAGCCCGGCGAUCGCUCUGAAUUCCGCCUCCGCCGGGCUCGCACAGCCCCGGCCGGGGCCGCGGUGGGUGCUCACCCACAGCCGGCAGGGCCGGGGCCGCUCCGGCCGGGAUGGAGCACCCCGACCCCGGCCGCAUUGACAUCCUGAAGCUAACAGCAUUUGUGCAUCACUCCUGUGCUUAACACCGCUGCUGCCGUGGGGGGUCAGAUCUACGGGGGAAAACACAAAGGAAAACAAACCUCCGAGCCAGUCACUAAAUGACAAGUAUGCCAGGAGCCAGUGCAACGACAUCAGCAGCGCACAGAAACGCCGGGGCAGAGCCUGCAAACCCCCUAAUUAGAUGAGUAAUCCUCAUGUGAGUGCUGAAGUCAUUGGGCCCAGAUCACUUGAUGUGCACCACAGGACUUUUGGAAAAAGAGCCACAUGUAAUAGCAUCUCCGUGAGGCAGAUUCCAUGUGGACACAUAUAUCUGCCUGGAUUAAUCCCCCUCUGCUGCAUGGGGGCCUUGGAGUGCCCGCAAUAUUCCCCUGUGAGGGAGCUGGAAGCCUGCAGCAGUGAAGAUGAUUGAUUUUGGGGAGGAAGUAAGAAAAAGCACAUCUUCAAAACACCAUUUUGGAGGGAGGUGGAUGGUGGGUCAUCCCUAGGACUCAAAGCACAUGAGUGACACUGCAGGGGAAUAAUUUUCAAGACAUCAUUUUGGGGGGAAAACAUCUUCUUUUCCAAGGGGCCUAGUGGGAAGUUCUAAUAAAACCCAAACAUGAAAUAAAAAAUCUGGUUUUGAAUGUC